UCCGAGUUGACCCCGGCAGUCUCCCAUGAGUCCCCGGCAUCACCCGCUGGCAACAUGGAACGAGGGUUGCGCUCGUUGCGGGACUUAACCCAACAUCUCACGACACGAGCUGACGACAGCCAUGCACCACCUGCACACCGGCCACAAGGGAACCGGCAUCUCUACCGGCGUCCGGUGCAUGUCAAACCCAGGUAAGGUUCUUCGCGUUGCAUCGAAUUAAUCCACAUGCUCCGCCGCUUGUGCGGGCCCCCGUCAAUUCCUUUGAGUUUCAGCCUUGCGGCCGUACUCCCCAGGCGGGGCACUUAAUGCGUUAGCGCCGGCACCCAGGGGGUCGCUCCCCCAGGCACCUAGUGCCCAUCGUUUACGGCGUGGACUAC
rnacentral:misc_RNA from 1 species